GGGGUUGUAGCUAAGUGGUAGAGCACUUACCUAUGACAUAUGAGGCACUGGGUUCAAUCCUCAGCACCACA
rnacentral:tRNA from 1 species